rnacentral:rRNA from 1 species
UGAACGCUGGCGGCGUGCCUACUACAUGCAAGUCGAGCGAACGGACGAGAAGCUUGCUUCUCUGAUGUUAGCGGCGGACGGGUGAGUAACACGUGGAUAACCUACCUAUAAGACUGGGAUAACUUCGGGAAACCGUAGCUAAUACCGGAUAAUAUUUUGAACCGCAUGGUUCAAAAGUGAAAGACGGUCUUGCUGUCACUUAUAGAUGGAUCCGCGCUGCAUUAGCUAGUUGGUAAGGUAACGGCUUACCAAGGCAACGAUGCAUAGCCGACCUGAGGGGGUGAUCGGCCACACUGGAACUGAGACACGGUCCAGACUCCUACGGGAGGCAGCAGUAGGGAAUCUUCCGCAAUGGGCGAAAGCCUGACGGAGCAACGCCGCGUGAGUGAUGAAGGUCUUCGGAUCGUAAAACUCUGUUAUUAGGGAAGAACAUAUGUGUAAGUAACUGUGCACAUCUUGACGGUACCUAAUCAGAAAGCCACGGCUAACUACGUG